rnacentral:rRNA from 1 species
ACUCCUACGGGAGGCAGCAGUGGGGAAUAUUGGACAAUGGGCGAAAGCCUGAUCCAGCCAUGCCGCAUGAGUGAAGAAGGCCUUUGGGUUGUAAAGCUCUUUUAGUGAGGAAGAUAAUGACGGUACUCACAGAAGAAGUCCUGGCUAACUCCGUGCCAGCAGCCGCGGUAAUACGGAGAGGGCUAGCGUUAUUCGGAAUUAUUGGGCGUAAAGGGCGCGUAGGCUGGUUAGUAAGUUAAAAGUGAAAUCCCGAGGCUUAACCUUGGAACUGCUUUUAAAACUGCUAACCUAGAGAUUGAAAGAGGAUAGAGGAAUUCCUAGUGUAGAGGUGAAAUUCGUAAAUAUUAGGAGGAACACCAGUGGCGAAGGCGUCUAUCUGGUUCAAAUCUGACGCUGAGGCGCGAAGGCGUGGGGAGCAAACAGGAUUAGAAACCCUAGUAGUCC